UAUAAUAAUAAUUUGUGCAACAAAAAAACAAAUAGGGUGUACUGUAAUUUAUAAAGUACUUGUUGAAUACAUAUUUCUGUAAUAAUUCUAGUAUAAUCACUAGAAGACAUAAUCCAUAUUUUAAUUAUUAUUUGAAGAAACAACAAGACUGAGCUCUGCAGCAAUUCAACUAAAAUACAGUAUUUAAUAUUGUGUGUCUGCUAAGAUAAUGGUUUGACAAAACUCUUUUUUUGUUUGUACAAAUUUGACAAAAACAUUUUAUUAAUCUAAACAACUACAAUAAAUUUAAAUAUCUUGAUUUACAUUGAAGCUACCUUUUCCUUUAUAGUAUAAUUUUGCUCACAUGUGUGCCAUUAGUCAUGAAUCACUUGAUUAUGAUAAGAAAGGCAAAAUCAAUAUGCAAAAAUGCCAAGCCUAGUGCUAUAGAUUAUGAUGAUUUGUUUCACAAUAAAUUAUAAUUACAAUUUAGCACCUGCCUUAGACCUUGCCACAUCUUUAUCCAAAAUAAUUUCCAGGUGACCCUAGAAGCAAUAGGAGUUGGAGUUGGAGUUGGAUAGAAUUCAUUUUGUUUGUUGUUGUAGUUAAUCAACUAAAUAAUUAGUUAGAGCUACAUGAUUAUCCACCACAACUAGCUAGCUACUUCAACAAUAAAGGACACAAAUUUUAAUUUGUACCAAAUCCCUCGGUUAAGUAUUUUACUUUGGCAAGUCAAAUUACUAAUUGCUAGAUAAUAUCAUCUAUAAUUAAGACUAAUUAAUAGUUCAUACUUAUAAAUAAUCUAUGGUUAUUGUAAUUUCCCAUUUGGUAUUAGAAGACAAAAGAUAUUGUAAAUGCAUAAUUUUAAUGUGAAGGCAAAUGUAACUUAAGGCACACUCAACACAACUCAAUGGAAU
rnacentral:lncRNA from 1 species